AUUGCAGCACUCUGUGGGACCAAGAGGGAAUGGAUGCUGUUAAGGAUGUCAUGACCGGCUGUUGAUGCCCAGAAGUCUGGUUGUUCAAGGCACUAUCUGAGACUGAAGAAACACAGACUUUCCCAUCGGUUCCCUGAAACUCCCCCUCCCUUUUGUCUAGCUGCACAAAAACUCCCUGCUUCACCUUUUUGUUAAGACAGAUUUGAGAGAUCUUGCCCUCCUGCCCUCUUG
rnacentral:lncRNA from 1 species